GAUGAACGCUGGCGGCGUGCCUAAUACAUGCAAGUCGAGCGAACGGACGAGAAGCUUGCUUCUCUGAUGUUAGCGGCGGACGGGUGAGUAACACGUGGAUAACCUACCUAUAAGACUGGGAUAACUUCGGGAAACCGGAGCUAAUACCGGAUGAUAUUUUGAACCGCAUGGUUCAAAAGUGAAAGACGGUCUUGCUGUCACUUAUAGAUGGAUCCGCGCUGCAUUAGCGAGUUGGUAAGGUAACGGCUUACCAAGGCAACGAUGCAUAGCCGACCUGAGAGGGUGAUCGGCCACACUGGAACUGAGACACGGUCCAGACUCCUACGGGAGGCAGCAGUAGGGAAUCUUCCGCAAUGGGCGAAAGCCUGACGGAGCAACGCCGCGUGAGUGAUGAAGGUCUUCGGAUCGUAAAGCUCUGUUAUUAGGGAAGAACAUAUGUGUAAGUAACUGUGCACAUCUUGACGGUACCUAAUCAGAAAGCCACGGCUAACUACGUG
rnacentral:rRNA from 1 species